rnacentral:rRNA from 1 species
ACACUCCUGCGGGAGGCAGCAGUGGGGAAUAUUGGACAAUGGGCGCAAGCCUGAUCCAGUCAUGCCGCGUGAGUGAUGAAGGCCCUAGGGUUGUAAAGCUCUUUCACCGGUGAAGAUAAUGACGGUAACCGGAGAAGAAGCCCCGGCUAACUUCGUGCCAGCAGCCGCGGUAAUACGAAGGGGGCUAGCGUUGUUCGGAUUUACUGGGCGUAAAGCGCACGUAGGCGGACUAUCAAGUCAGGGGUGAAAUCCCGGGGCUCAACCCCGGAACUGCCUUUGAUACUGGUAGUCUUGAGUUCGAGAGAGGUGAGUGGAAUUCCGAGUGUAGAGGUGAAAUUCGUAGAUAUUCGGAGGAACACCAGUGGCGAAGGCGGCUCACUGGCUCGAUACUGACGCUGAGGUGCGAAAGCGUGGGGAGCAAACAGGAUUAGAUACCCCAGUAGUCCCAUGA